ensembl:lncRNA
UUAAUGCCAAUGUUACAUUUUUAGUUUCUUAAAUAUGAAUAAUUUAAAAAGAAUUUGUUUAUUCCAGUUCUCACAUAGCUGUAGUCAUUAUUUACUGAUACAAUAGUGUUAAGAAAGUAAAAGCUCGAUUACAAAUAACGACACUAAUAAAAACAUGGCGGGAAUUAUCAUUGAUGUUAGCAUGAUAGGCUAACUAAUGUCAACUUUUUAAGUAAAAACUAGUUAGCCUGCUUUACUAUGGAAGGAAAUUAGCCUAGCUUGCUAGCAUUGACUUUUUGAUUCAAAUAACAGUUUAUCUGCCCUGUAACCAACUUUUGAAAAGAGAGCAGAUAAAGAUUUAAUAAGUAAAUUUGAGGGUUUUUUGUUUUCUAAUGUUCCUUUAACAUUUACAUAAUAUUUCAGGGUUAUUAUAGCUGUUUGUUUGUUUUUUUUAUUUAACCUAAUUUAACCUGAGCUGAUUGAGAGAUUGUGUUUCAGGUAUUGGUUAUUUUCCAGUAUAAUAAAUUAAAAGGUUUUCUCAGUGAUGGUUUAGGUAUCUGUCAAACGAAAUCUCAGAAAUCUCACAGGUCUGAGUGACAAAAUGGACUAAUGGCCAUAGAAACUUGUAUUUAGAGCAACUCUUUCCAUCAUGUGCAUUGACCUUCUUUAUUUGGGAAAACAUAACAUUUUUGUCACCAGUGAAAAUGUGAAUACUUUGUUAUUGUUGCCGCCUUUUUAAAGGAAAAGCAGACACGUGAGUGCGGAGGGGGGGUGUUUCUAUUUCUCACCUGACAUGCAUGAUCUCACCCCUCCGUCCACCCAAUCCUGUGUGGCACUGAACACCCUGCACCCUUUCAUGUACAUCGAUGUGAAAUUUGUACAUAAAAAAAAACACAACACUUACUACCUUUUUUGGGUGGAAGUGGGAUUUUUUUCCCCUUUUUUUUACCAUUUGAUUGUUAUAUUUAAACACUUUCUUUUCUUAAAAGUCACAUUUAGUGGUUUCUUUCGAGUGGGAUGUAUUUAUUUGUUUUAUUUAAUUAUUUUCUGUAAGGAGAGUGCAAUCAUCACUGUAGGCCAGUAACUCCAUGCUUUUAUUAAACUGAAUUAUGACUAUGAUCAUUAAAGCAUGUGUUCCAAUGGGCCUGUGUACAAUAAAAUGUAAAAUGAUUGGUCUUUUAAAGCAAUGCCAUGUAGGCAUGAAA